GAUGAACGCUGGCGGCGUGCCUAAUACAUGCAAGUCGAGCGAACAGACGAGGAGCUUGCUCCUCUGACGUUAGCGGCGGACGGGUGAGUAACACGUGGAUAACCUACCUAUAAGACUGGGAUAACUUCGGGAAACCGGAGCUAAUACCGGAUAAUAUAUUGAACCGCAUGGUUCAAUAGUGAAAGACGGUUUUGCUGUCACUUAUAGAUGGAUCCGCGCCGCAUUAGCUAGUUGGUAAGGUAACGGCUUACCAAGGCAACGAUGCGUAGCCGACCUGAGAGGGUGAGCGGCCACACUGGAACUGAGACACGGCCCAGACUCCUACGGGAGGCAGCAGUAGGGAAUCUUCCGAAAUGGGCGAAAGCCUGACGGAGCAACGCCGGGUGAGUGAUGAAGGUCUUCGGAUUGUAAAACUCUGUUAUUAGGGAAGAAAAAAUGUGUAAGUAACUAUGCACGUUUGGACGGUACCUAAUCAGAAAGCCACGGCUAACUACGU
rnacentral:rRNA from 1 species